rnacentral:rRNA from 1 species
UACGGAGGGUGCAAGCGUUGUUCGGAAUUAUUGGGCGUAAAGGGUGGGUAGGCGGUCUCAUUUGUCUGGGGUGAAAGCCUUGAGCUUAACUCAAGAAGUGCCCCAGAAACGGUGAGACUAGAGUCCUGGAGAGGGUCGUGGAAUUCCCGGUGUAGCGGUGAAAUGCGUAGAUAUCACUUGGAACGCCAAUGGUGAAAACAGAUAGCUGGGGUUGUGCUGACACUGAGACACGAAAGCCAGGGGAGCAAACGGG